UGGCGCCCAAUGUGGGGCUCCUGGCACAAGGGAGUCAACAAGGGAGCCGUUUGAGAAAGCCGGCUAAAAGUGAAACCAAAUUGAACCAAAGACCGCGGUGAAAGGAAAAACAAACUAAAUCGAAGACUAAGGCUAAAAGCAAAAGGACAUUAAAUCAAGGACCAAGGCCAACGUGGACAACUACCCAAAAUCCUGCUCGAGUCACAGUGAGUGAAUGGCGACCCCAUUCCCUUUCCCGGACAUGUGUCAAGCAUUGAGCGAACACAAAGUGUUCGUGGGAGGCCUUAUAAAGGCAUGAAAGACAAGAGGGGUAAGGGUUAGAACAAAAGAAUUAUUGCAGUAUUUUCAAUUUAUUCAUAAGGUUUGCCCUU
rfam:Cavia porcellus supercont2_12 genomic scaffold, whole genome shotgun sequence.